CUGAAAAACUUCAUGAAAACCAUCAUAAAUUUUUACUAAAACAACCAGCAAAACUCGUUUUUGGUGAAGCUCAAGUUGCUCCUCUCUUUUGUAAUUAUGCUUAGUGUGAUGGCAUGACGUACAUAUUGGGGAGGAAAUGGAUAUUUGGCAAACUCUCUUGGAUUAAUAGUAUACGCUUUCUCGACUCUUAAACAUUGUUAUUGAUAUUUGGAAAUACUUCAAGGUAACGUACGGGAUGAAAUUUGAAGACAGCCUUAUGAAGUAGUCUUUUUCGGAGCACUUAUGGAGAUCACAUUUGCAUUGCACCUUGGUUUUGUAUAAUUUUGGGACAUGUACAUGAUAUAUAUGUCACACUUAUGUAUGUUAUUUGGAGGCUUGUUGGAUCUUAAGACCAGAAUCUUGUGACUUGAAUUUGGU